AGCAGCUGUAAACAAUAGAGAGUAAAGAAUAAUACAAUCUGAACAGAAGGGCUUGGCUUAAUGUAAUUAGCAUAACCUUAAUGCUCACUCUCGAUGGACUCUCAAAGGGCCCGAAUCUGUUUGUGUAUUUUGUUAUUUGUGACUUGAAAAUUCCCCGGUGAUGCACAGACAAUGGAAGAGCAAUAACUGCUUUUUACAUUUCAGAUCAGUGGAGCUCUUACGUGUGAGACGACUAUGACAAUGACGGGAGGGGGUGAGGCAUUCUUAAAGGUCCGACGACCCAACAGCAAUGGAUGACAUACACAGGAUCUGUGCAAAUGACCUGAGAGUAUGGCAACUACUAUUUGUAGCCCUUUGGAACCACCGAGUGUAGUGACACAGAGAGAUGGAGCCACUGGCAAAGACCAGCUUUUGCAAGGAGAGUUGCUGUAGUGUGGGCUCAGGAGAGUGAACACCAAGGCUACGUGUGUGGUGAUGCGUAAUAAAGACAUGUCAG